rnacentral:rRNA from 1 species
UACAGAGGGGGCAAGCGUUGUUCGGAAUUACUGGGCGUAAAGGGCGCGUAGGCGGCCUGUUAAGUCGAACGUGAAAUCCCCGGGCUUAACCCGGGAACUGCGUCCGAUACUGGCAGGCUUGAAUCCGGGAGAGGGAUGCGGAAUUCCAGGUGUAGCGGUGAAAAUGCGCAGAUAUCAGGAGGAACACCAAUGGCGAAAGGCAGCUCGCUGGGACGUGACUGACGCUGAGACGCGAAAGCGUGGGGAGCAAACAGG